rnacentral:rRNA from 1 species
GACGAACGCUGGCGGCGUGCUUAACACAUGCAAGUCGAGCGGUAAGGCCCUUUCGGGGGUACACGAGCGGCGAACGGGUGAGUAACACGUGGGUGACCUGCCCUCAGCUCUGGGAUAAGCCCGGGAAACUGGGUCUAAUACUGGAUAUGACUCCAUGACGCAUGUUGUGGGGUGGAAAGCCUUGUGCGGCUGGGGAUGGGCCCGCGGCCUAUCAGCUUGUUGGUGGGGGAUGGCCUACCAAGGCGACGACGGGUAGCCGGCCUGAGAGGGCGACCGGCCACACUGGGACUGAGACACGGCCCAGACUCCUACGGGAGGCAGCAGUGGGGAAUCUUGCGCAAUGGGCGAAAGCCUGACGCAGCGACGCCGCGUGAGGGAUGACGGCCU